AGCUUUGCGCAGUGGCAGUAUCGUAGCCAAUGAGGUUUAUCCGAGGCGCGAUUAUUGCUAAUAGAAAGUACAAUUGAUUCUUGAACAACAUGGGUUUGAAGUGCACAGGUCUACUUGUAUAUGGAUGUUUUUCA